rnacentral:misc_RNA from 1 species
GAUGAAGAACGCAGCGAAAUGCGAUAAGUAAUGUGAAUUGCAGAAUUCAGUGAAUCAUCGAAUCUUUGAACGCACAUUGCGCCCGCCAGUAUUCUGGCGGGCAUGCCUGUUCGAGCGUCAUUUCCACCAUCAGGCCCCCGGGCCUGUGUUGGGGACCUGCGGCUGCCCGCAGGCCCCGAAAUUCAGUGGCGGUCGCGCCGUGGCAACCGAGCGUAGUAACUAAAACGUCUCGCUCUGGCUCGCUGGGCGCGCUCCGGCCGUAAAACACCCCCCCUUUUCGCAAAGGUUGACCUCGGAUCAGGUAGGAAUACCCGCUGAACUUAAGCAUAUCAAUAAGCGGAGGA